rnacentral:pre_miRNA from 2 species
ACUCCUCAGGGAAGGCAAUAGAUUGUAUAGUUAUCUCCUGAACAGGGUAAAAUAACUACCCCACAACUAUACAAUCUACUACCUCACUCUGAUAGAG